UGUUCCCUGGGAUUGGCUUUGGGCUUUUCCUGCGCAGCUUAGGUGGAAGGCGAAGAAGGGCCCCUUCCGGGGGGCCCGAGCCAUCAGUGAGAUACCACUCUGGAAGAGCUCGGAUUCUAACCUUGUCAAACCCGCGAGCCACACCAUGGUCGGUA
rfam:Sorghum bicolor cultivar BTx623 unplaced genomic scaffold super_45, whole genome shotgun sequence.